GCGGCGGACGGGUGAGUAACACGUGGGCAACCUGCCCUAAAGCGGGGGAUAACAUUUGGAAACAGGUGCUAAUACCGCAUAACUACGAAAACCACAUGGUUUUCGUAUAAAAGAUGGUUCCGGCUAUCACUUUAGGAUGGGCCCGCGGUGCAUUAGCUAGUUGGUAGGGUAACGGCUUACCAAGGCAAUGAUGCAUAGCCGAGUUGAGAGACUGAUCGGCCACAAUGGAACUGAGACACGGUCCAUACUCCUACGGGAGGCAGCAGUAGGGAAUCUUCCACAAUGGGCGCAAGCCUGAUGGAGCAACACCGCGUGAGUGAAGAAGGGUUUCGGCUCGUAAAACUCUGUUGUUGAAGAAGAACGUGCGUGAGAGUAACUGUUCAUGCAGUGACGGUAUUCAACCAGAAAGUCACGGCUAACUACGUGCCAGCAGCCGCGGUAAUACGUAGGUGGCAAGCGUUAUCCGGAUUUAUUGGGCGUAAAGCGAGCGCAGGCGGUUGCUUAGGUCUGAUGUGAAAGCCUUCGGCUUAACCGAAGAAGUGCAUCGGAAACCGGGCAACUUGAGUGCAGAAGAGGACAGUGGAACUCCAUGUGUAGCGGUGGAAUGCGUAGAUAUAUGGAAGAACACCAGUGGCGAAGGCGGCUGUCUGGUCUGCAACUGACGCUGAGGCUCGAAAGCAUGGGUAGCGAACAGGAUUAGAUACCCUGGUAGUCCAUGCCGUAAACGAUGAGUGCUAGGUGUUGGAGGGUUUCCGCCCUUCAGUGCCGCAGCUAACGCAUUAAGCACUCCGCCUGGGGAGUACGACCGCAAGGUUGAA
rnacentral:rRNA from 1 species